rnacentral:rRNA from 1 species
AUGGUGGUGCGGGGCCAGCAAGAUCUGGACGCCAACAUCGUCCGCUGGGGCCUCCACCACCUCCUCGACGGCGGCGGCGGCUGCGUGCACCGCCCUCAAUCCCCCACCACCGACUACGCCCCGCCGCCGCCGCAGCCGCAGCGCGCCCGCGCCCUUCUCGACGGCCACGACAUGGCCCCCGCCCCCGCCUCCGCCUCCGAGGUCAGGGUCGACGCGGUCGAGAACGACGAGGUCAUGGCGCACGCGCUGCAGGAGGAGCUGGCGCAGGUCGCCAUGGCCGAGGCCUCGGGGGCCGGCGGCGGCGAGGCCGAGCGCCGCGCCACCGUCCUCGCGCAGCAGUGGUUCCGCCCCGAGGUCGUCAGCUAUCUGCCCUCAGCUCCACCUUAUGUAGAAGAAGCAGAGGGCUCCAGUCCAUGUUCGAGCCCCGAACAAGGUAGCAAUGCGCGCGACGGCCAGGGCUGCUCCAUAGAGCUUGUGGAUGAUUUCUCUGCUCUCGACGGCGAAGUCGGCAAAAGACUGAAUGACAUGGUCCCUGUCCCUCAUGUCCCUAAAACAAACGGAGACAUUCCUUCUUUUGAUGAAGCCUUUUCAGAUCACCGAAGACUUCUUGACAGGUUGGUGCUGUAUGGCCUGGUUGAGCUCAAGGUUAACGGAGAUGGCAAUUGUCAGUUUCGAGCAUUGUCCGAUCAAUUCUACCGAACUCCUGAACACCAUAGAUUUGUACGGCAACAAGUGGUCAAUCAGCUUGAGUCUCAUCCUGAGAUAUAUGCUGGAUAUGUCCCUAUGGAUUACAGAGAAUACCUUAAGAAGAUGCCAAAGAAUGGAGAGUGGGGUGACCAUGUUACACUGCAGGCGGCUGCAGACUUGUAUGGUGUAAAGAUUUUCAUUCUGACAUCAUUCAGAGAUACAUGCUACAUUGAAAUUCUCCCAGUCGUUCAAAAAUCAAAUAGAGUUAUAUGUUUGAGUUUUUGGGCUGAGGUGCACUACAACUCGAUAUAUCCAGAAGGAGAGUUGCCCGUCGUGGAGAACAGAAAGAAGAGCUUGUUGGAUCGACGGUCGUUUUGUUCGACCAUGUGA